rnacentral:tRNA from 1 species
AGGUCCGUAGCUCAAUUGGCAGAGCACUGGUCUCCAAAACCGGGGGUUGCAGGUUCAAGUCCUGCCGGGCCUGCCA